UUAUGAGUGGAUUGAUGUUAGAUAAUUAUUAUUGGUUUUGGCCCAGAUCGUUUACCGUGAAAAAAUUAGAGUGUUCAAAGCAGGCAGAUUCAAUUUUCUGCCACCGAAUACAUUAGCAUGGGAUAAUGGAAUAGGACCCUGUCCUCCUAUCUUCAGUUGGUUAACUUGUAGAGGAUCAGGGUAAUGAUUAAUAGGGAUAGUUGGGGGCAUUAAUAUUUAAUUGUCAGAGGUGAAAUUCUUGGAUUUAUGAAAGUUUAAAUUCUGUGAAAGCAUCUGCCAAGGAUGUUUUCAUUAAUCAAGAACGAAAGUUAGGGGAUCGAAGACGAUCAGAUACCGUAGUAGUCUUAACCAUAAACGAUGCCGACCAGCGAUUAGGAGACGUUGAAUACAAAACACCACCAUACAUAAUUCAGUACAUGGCCAGUCAAAUGGUUGUGUUUGUUAAAUAUUAUCCCAGGCC
rnacentral:rRNA from 1 species